rnacentral:rRNA from 1 species
AGCGGCGGACGGGUGAGUAACACGUGGGUAACCUGCCCAAGAGACUGGGAUAACACCUGGAAACAGAUGCUAAUACCGGAUAACAACACUAGACGCAUGUCUAGAGCUUGAAAGAUGGUUCUGCUAUCACUCUUGGAUGGACCUGCGGUGCAUUAGCUAGUUGGUAAGGUAACGGCUUACCAAGGCAAUGAUGCAUAGCCGAGUUGAGAGACUGAUCGGCCACGUUGGGACUGAGACACGGCCCAAACUCCUACGGGAGGCAGCAGUAGGGAAUCUUCCACAAUGGACGAAAGUCUGAUGGAGCAACGCCGCGUGAGUGAAGAAGGGUUUCGGCUCGUAAAGCUCUGUUGGUAGUGAAGAAAGAUAGAGGUAGUAACUGGCCUUUAUUUGACGGUAAUUACUUAGAAAGUCACGGCUAACUACGUGCCAGCAGCCGCGGUAAUACGUAGGUGGCAAGCGUUGUCCGGAUUUAUUGGGCGUAAAGCGAGUGCAGGCGGUUCAAUAAGUCUGAUGUGGAAGCCUUCGGCUCAACCGGAGAAUUGCAUCAGAAACUGUUGAACUUGAGUGCAGAAGAGGAGAGUGGAACUCCAUGUGUAGCGGUGGAAUGCGUAGAUAUAUGGAAGAACACCAGUGGCGAAGGCGGCUCUCUGGUCUGCAACUGACGCUGAGGCUCGAAAGCAUGGGUAGCGAACAGGAUUAGAUACCCUGGUAGUCCAUGCCGUAAACGAUGAGUGCUAAGUGU